rnacentral:lncRNA from 1 species
UUUUUUUUUUUUAAGGACCACACCUGUGUUCCAUGGAAGUUCCCAGGCUAGGGUUUGACUUGGAGCCACAGUUGCCGGCCUACACCACAGCCUCAGCAACACCUGAUCCAAGCCACACCUGCUACCGACACCACUGCUCACAGCAACACCAGAUCCUUAACCCACUGAGCGAGGCCAGGGAUCAAACACACGUCCUCAUGGAGACUCUACUGCUGAGGAGAUGAAUACCACUGAGUCACAACGGGAACUCCGAUACAUAUCAUUUUUACAAGAAAAUACAGAGAAUUGUUGGAAAUACAAAACAAUUGCCUCUCUGGAGGCUGGCUCCUCUCCCCAGUGGAGCCUGUGUCAAAAUACUCAUAAGCAGCUCAGUGGGUUUCUGUGCAGGUGUCCCCAGAGCUCUCAUUGGGGAGCAGGGUUGCUCAGUCCCCGGGGUCCCUGCAUCGUGGCAGAGGACACCUGGAAAAUGCAAGCGAGUCUGGAUGGUGAUAAGGUGUUUGGCCGUCACAGCAACGACCGCCAACUGCUAGUACGAAUGGACUCCAGGGAAUUCCCAGUGGCUCAGCGGGUUAAGGACCUGAUGUUGUUUAAGGACCUGAUGUUGUCCCUGUGAAGAUGCAAGUUUGAUCCUUGGCCUCGCUCAGUGGGUUAAGGAUCCUGCAUUGCCGCCCAGCUGCGGUGUAGAUUGCAGAUGCAGCUCAGAUAUGGUGUUGAUGUGGCUGAAGUGGCGGGGGGGGCAGCUGCAGGGUCAAUUUGUCCCAUGGCCUGGGACCUUCCUGGUGCAGCCAUUUAAAAAACUUAAAAAAGAAUGGGACUCUGCGGCGUAGUUGCCCUGCCUUCUCAUAUUUAGUCUUCGGUGCAAAGAUAGUCAAGGGCAGAUUCUGUCAUCACCCGUUUUGCAACAGCUCAGAGUUUCAGCAACUUGCCUCAGAGCUGACGUCACAGCCCAUCCACCCGAGAGCCUCUUCUACUUCCACAGCCCAGAAUGGGGCCAGCCCCUGGCUGGAAGGGUUCGGGACACAGGUGGCCCUGAGUGACCCAAAUUGGCACAGCUCCUCUAAGACCUUUCUGGCCGUGUCCCCAUUGUCUUUGCCGCUGCAGGUACAAACCAGGACCCCUGCUCGUGGGCUCAUUUUUCACCGAUCCCUCCCCCUGUCCUGCCUGGCUUAGGGUCUCCCUCCCCUCUGCCCCUCAAACUUCUCCUUCUCCUAUUAGAACACAUACUAACCCGUAAUUGUCUGCGAGUCUGUCUUCCUGCAGAACAGUAGCCUCCUGGGGAUGGAGGCCCGUGUCUUACUGGUCAUGGUGCCCCCAGAACCUGGCUUCUGCGGAGCACAGAGGGCUGGACGGUUAUAUGCGGGAGCAGCACCUGGACUGCGCGCCCUGACCUGGUCCCUCACCCCGGGCCACCUCUGUCUCACAUCAGGGGACAGAACAGCUCGCCAUCUGCUGUCUUCCUCUGCGCCAGGCAUUCAGCACGGCGCCCUGGCGGGGAGAGGCCAAGAGGGAAACUGAGGCUCGGGGGCCUUAAAUGAAUUGUCGUUUCUAUUCUGCUUUGUCCCUUUUUUAACAAAAGGUAAAAAAAAAAAAAAAUCAGUGAUCUCUCAGUUAAUGACCUAUAUUGAUAAAACUAUUUGUUGUGUGUGACAGCAUGUGCGUGUGUGUGGGGUCAUGUGCGUGCGUGUGGGGUCAUGUAUAUGUGUGUGAGACUACGUGUACAUGUGUGUGCUCGUGUAUGUCUGUCCGUGGACACACCCACGUCUCGGUGCACACGCCGGAGAAACUUGGGAGCCAGGAACGUGGAGAUGAGGCUCGUCUGUCACUGCAUUCAGGGACCUCUCUCUGGGAUCCACAGGGUAACAGGCCUGGGCCACAGCUGGGGCCUGGGGACUGAACCCUCCAGGGGCGAGGGUCUCAGCCAGGAUGCGGUCUGAGGAAAAGUUCCCUGUUGGACCCAACUGAGUUGUGUCUGGACCCGGCCUCCUCCGCCCCUGGGCUCCCACCUUACCAGUCCCUGCCCCGGAGUCGGGGGUCAAGGUGCAGUCACACUCCAUCCGCCCCUCACUAGGGUCCCCACCUCCAGUCCAAGAAGUCCGCGGUCAAGGCCGCCAGGGCCCUGCUGCCAGCAAAACAGCCACUGGGAGGAGCCCUUGAGCCAUAAACCGCUCCUGUGGUGCCGCUGGCUGAAGGGAGAUGCCGCUGAGGGGAAAGUUUGGAGCCCUUGAAGAAACUAGGCCUUUAUACGCGUUGGUUUGUUGUGUUCUUGUGUUCCACAGCAGUUGAGAAUUUGCCACUACUCCUUCAAACACGCUGUGACUCUGCAUCCUUGAGCUUGGGUGAGGCAGAGCAGGGAAGGCUGCACCCGGCCACCUUCCCUUCUGGUGGAGGACCAGGUGCCAACCUACAGAGGUGGAGCUGGUGCUGAUUGCCUUGGACUUGCUGUGUGACGUUGAGUAGCCUCCUUGCCCUCUCUGGGCUCCAGAGUUCUUAGGUAGAAAUGACAGAACUAACUCUCAGUGGAGCUGCUUGGGCAGCUCACAGAAUUCAGAGGAAAGCAGGGAGCUGGGAGAAGCAAGGAAUAGGAGGGCUGAUGGCCCAGGACCAAGCAGAUCCCCCCCCAGCACUGGUUGGCAUGAGUUGUCACAUCUGUCCCCUCUUCCCAGUGACUACCCACCAGCCCGGCUGAUGGACUCUGGCUCUGCUGCUGCUGCUAAAUGACCCUGCAUCUGUGCGUCGAUUCCCCACGGUUCCUGUCCUGGACGGGGUCACAUGGCCAAGACCCAUCCGUGCAAGGCUAAGGAGAGGGGCUCUCUGCCUCCUCCUGUCCCCACAGGGCAGAAAGGGGCUGCACAGAGAGUGCAACCCAAUAGGAAGAGUUUCGAAUGCAGGUGGCUAAAAGUGACCAAUUUAUGCCACAUUCUUUGCUUAUACUGCAAGUGUCUGGAUCAGCCUGAGAUCUUGCACCCUGAAAUAAUGACAACAAUCUCGACCAUGUAUGUGACAUUACCAGACAUUAUUCAAAGGAGCGUAUAUAUCUCUCAUUUAAUCCUCAGAACAACUCUAUGAGGUAAAUUAUAUGAUCAGCCACAUUUAACAGAUGAGAAAACUGAGGCAUGGAGAGUUCAAAUAAUUCGCCUAAGGUCCACAGCUACUAAGAGGUGGAACAUGGAUUUGAACCCAGGCUGUCCGGUUCUCUCAACUCCAGGUUACCCUGCCAAGAUGGGCAUUCCCUUUAGGCAUCUUCGAUGACUCCUGACACCCAAGAAAUGGACCAAACAGCAGCCAUACACAUCAGGCUGAAGUUUCUCUGCUCUUCCAAGCCUCCCUGGUCUCUGUGGUUUAAUGACAAAACCACUUUUCUGUCUGUGGAGUUCAUCUUUACAAGAAAAUUUUUUUUUUCCUGAAUACAAGUCAGUUUCAAGAAUGGGAAUGACAUAUAUUUCUCUGUUAGACAUUCAAUCAAGAAGUCCAGAAGGCGAAGAAGAACACGUGCUUAUUUUUCAAAUUCUCCUUAGGGGCUUUCUGCCAAGCUGGGUAGAGUCCAAGAUGUGGGAAGUUGGCGUCUUUGCACGAACAGACCACCAGGGGGCAGACGAUGCCUCCGCGGGCCCCUGUUAGGUUGCUCCAGAGCAGGGGAUGUGCAAGGCAGCCGGAGGUGUGGCCCAAGGGACUGCGAUUGUAUUUUUAUCCAGCGCUCAUUUUCAGCAGCCUGGCAGAUGUCUGCCUUCAGCACACAAAGGAAGUGCCUGGAGGAUGUUGUUUGGGAAAGGUAGUCUAGCAUGAAGGACCCAAGCCCCAAAGUAUUAUUGCCUCUGUGAGGGGCAUGGAAGGGGCACUCUGACCAGUGCCCUGUGCAGUAGUCCUGGAGGCUCAUCCGACCACAGCAGCAUUUAAUACUCACCAUGUGUGGACCAGACUGGUGCAUCCUGGGAGCAAAGAGGACCAGGGGAGCUGCAGCCGACUUUUUAUUUUAUGCUGUGGUUUGGACUGGAAAGUCUUGAGUAGAGGAAUUUGGGGGGAAAUUAAGUUAUAUUUUAGAUGCUCCAGUUUAUCUUCCCAUUUAAAAGAAACAUGUGGUGAAUUCUUUUCUAAGGCAAACAUGUCCUAAUUUAUCUGUUUGUUAGUUGGGCUUUUUUGUGCCUUGAUUUGAGUAAUGACUUAUUGCACAAUCCACGGAGCAACCAUCCCUUUUGUCCAGGCUGUUUGUUUCUCACAAUGUGUAGAGGGCUUUUUGCACAGAAGUUUCCAAUUGUUCUGCACUGGAAUUUGUCAACCUUCCCUUCAUGAUUUCUUUCAGAACCUCAAAGUUUAGAGAAAACUCAUUCUUCUACAAAAGUCCUAAAUACUUCAUUCUGGGGACUUUUUCUACAAUUCAAUUUUUAAGUUGAACUCUUCAAUUUUUGAAAAUUGUGUGUGUGUGUGUGUGUGUGUGUGAUGUGAGACUAUAAAUUUCUUUGUUUUCAUCAGACUGCAGUGAUGGUCUCAAUUGUUUUGUGCGCUUGCUUUGCCAUCAGCUAUUUAACACGUUUUUUUCAUGCUCUCCUUCAUUCCUACACUGUCCAUGCAUUUACAAAUACUCGUGUGCAUAUAAACUCUUUUUCUGGUAUACAUAGAACUAUAUUAUAUGCAUCAUUCCUGACUUGCUUUCUUCACUUCACUUGGAGAACCUUCCAUGCUGUGCACUGAAACCCCCUCCACUUACUAACAACCACACAAUAUUCCUUAGAAUAAAGUGUAACUCAUUUUAUUUAACCAGCCCCCUGUUAAUGAACAUUAGGUUGCUUCCAGCUUCUCAUUAUUGUAAACAAUGAAAUAAUAAACACUUUUGUUAUGUAUAUAUUUGAAGACACAUGAAUCAUCUCUUUUGGGUAGAUUCCUAGAAGUGGAAUUGUUAGAUCCGGAGUUUUGAUAUAUAUACUAUCAAAUUAUCUUCAAAAACCCCUCACCCCAAGGGAGUUCCUGUGGUCGCUCAGCGAUACCGAACCCGACUAGUAUCCAUGAGGGCACAGGUUGGAUCCCUGGCCUCGUUCAGUGGGUUAAGAGUCUAGGUUUGCCGUGAGCUGUGGUGUAGGCAGCAGAUGUAGCUCAGAUCCUGCAUUGCUAUGGCUAUGGUGUAGGCUGGCAGUUGCAUCUCCAAUUCAAUCCCUAGUCUGGGAACCUCCAUAUGCUGCAGGUGCGGCCCUAAAAAGCUCCCCCGCCAAGAAAAAGAAAAGAAAAAAACAAAAAA